rnacentral:lncRNA from 1 species
GUUCAGGGGUCAAUUUAAGGGUUUUGGGGGUGUUUAAGGGCAUUUUGGGGUUAUUUCAGGGAUUUUAGGGUCACUUAAAAGGUUUUGGGGUCAUUUUAGGGGUUUUAGGGACAGUUUAAGGGGAUUUGGGGGUAUUUUUAGAGGGUUUUGGUGGCAUUUAAUGGGAUUUGGGGUUAUUUAAGGGGAUUUUAGGGUCACUUAAGGGGAUUUUGGGGUCACUUGAAGAGGUUUUGGGGUCAUUUCAAGGGAUUUUGGGGCCAUUUAAAGGAAUUUGGGGACUUUUAAAGGGGUUUGGGGAUCCCUAAAGGGGUUUUGGGGCCGUUUCUGGGCUUUUGGGGUCUGCCCCUGACGCCCCCUCUGGUUCCAGGCCCAGCCCGGCCCCUCCAAGCCGCCGACGGAGCCCCCCCCCCCCGCAGCCGCCAGCGGAGGAGCAGAGCAAAGAGACGAAGAAGGAGAGCGGCGGCAGCAGCAGCAGCAGCAGCCGGAAGAAGCGGAGCCGCAGCCGGAGCCGGAGCCGCGACCACAGACACAGUCGCAGCCGGGACCGAGACCGGCGCCGCCGAUCCCGCAGCCGCGACCGCCGCAGCCGCCACCGGUCCCGGAGCCGCGAACGGCGCCGAUCCCGCAGCCGCGAGCGCCGGCGCGACGAGCGAUCCCGGUACCCGAUUUCCCCUUUUUUCACCCCAAAAUGGCUUUUUUCCCAUAUCUCGGCCCUUUUUUAACCGAUUCGGUCGGUUUUUGCCCCGUUCCAGCCGCCGCUUCGGGCACAGCAAGAGCCCGCUCUACCGGGAGAAGAGC